rnacentral:rRNA from 1 species
UACAUGGGGUGCAAACGUUGCCCGGAAUCAUUGGGCGUAAAGCGCGCGUAGGCGGUUACUUAAGUCGGAUGUGAAAGCCCUCGGCUUAACCGAGGAAGUGCAUCCGAAACUGAGUAGCUAGAGUACUAAAGAGGGUCGCGGAAUUCCCGGUGUAGAGGUGAAAUUCGUAGAUAUCGGGAGGAACACCGGUGGCGAAGGCGGCGACCUGGGUAGAUACUGACGCUGAGGCGCGAAAGCUAGGGGAGCAAACGGG